GCUACCUGGAUCACUGUAUACUGUGAAAAAAAUAUUUAGUACAAAAAUAAUUGUGAUAAAUCAAUUUUGUAUAUUCUUCUGCGAAAAAAUGUCUACAAUCGAUGAUGUAUAUGUAUACAUAUCAAGAUGUGUCUGUUUUGCUCUACGGUUGCGAUAAGUUGCUUUGGAAUAAAUAAUAUUGCACGAGUCAUUGGCUUUGGAUAUGUUCAAACUUUAAAGUAUAAAAUAUAUCAACCCUGGGAACAAAUUAUUGGUACUGAAUGGUAAAAAAAAAGUGUGCAUUCAUUCUAAAUAUACAAUCAUGUCUGUGUGCGAAUGCUUCUGUUACAUUCACAUUCUAUACUGAAUGUCAAUCUACCAUU